rnacentral:lncRNA from 1 species
UCGAUUUCUAGUUUCCGAUUUCCAGCUUCCAGAUUUCGACGGGAGGGGAGAUCGGGGAAGGCAGAUAUUUCUUCUUCUAAAUCCAAUCUGGUGGAUCGAGGAAAUCACAAGGCCGGCCACUAAGGGCCAGAUCGGGGAACGCAGAUAUAUUUCCAUCAAAGGCCCGCUUAAUCUCGGUUCUAGCUCUUUCUCUCUCCAAAAGGGUGAUUUUCUCUCCAUACUGUUCUCUCCAGAUCAAUGGGCAACACCCGUCACCGCUACCUCGUUUGAGCUGAGAAGAUUAGGGAAAAUUUCGAUCCGAG